AGGCAAGAAAAUGUCUAUGGUGUGGGUACGUGUUUAGGACAUCACAACUAUAGCCAAGACUGAGGUUCCCUAUUGGCCAGGCAGCAAAUUUUUGGAAACAAAAUUUCUCCAUAGACAGGACUGUCAGGUCCUGUGCCUAUCCCAUACAAAUUGGGGAGGUUGUGAUGCUAAAGCCCGAGCAGGGUGUGCUGAUGCUGGGUAAUGGACAUGUCAUAAAUACCUCUGUGUCAAGUUUCAGUGAGGUCUGCGCGAAGGGCAGCAGGCAGGCAUUGACACGGGUGUUAGCCAUGGGUUCAGGAGGCCCUAAGACCCCUCAUGUAGGUCUCUGAGGAGGGACAGCCAGACUGUAUGACUGGGCCCAAGGCAGCCCCAUCAUCAAGCACUGUGUGCUGUUUGCUGCUGCUGUUUGCAGAGGCUGUGUGAGGGGAUCUCGUGAACAAGCACCUGCUGUGCUCACUUGCAGUCUUCUACUGAGUUCUCUCUGCCAUUGCAUUGCAUGUAGCUGCAUGAGGCAAAGAAUCCCUGAUGGGCUUGCCUGUUGGAAGAAGCAAAUGAUGUACUUCAUGCAAGAGAUGUAAACUAGACAACUGUGCUGACUCUGGUCUCAUGCUGCGGUUCUUGGAUCAGGAAUAGAAGCACGGGUAUCGCACCUUUAGAACUCAUGCUCACAGUCUGCUUCUAUCAAAAAAUCAUUACUUAGAAGAAAUACUGUGCUUGCUAACCAUAAUGUGUGCUCUUCCCGACCUGCAGAGGAGUACCUCCUCUGUUUGAAGGCAAAGCCACUCACAGGAUCGCUUGGAGCGAAGACUGGAUCUUUAUUUAGCUGAAGGCUCACAUUAACAUCAUAAGAUGUUUAGCUGUUUAAGCCUUUUCUCUUGAAAGAAGUGGAAAACUUGGUCUGAGAGAUGUGUCAUUCCAUCACUGAAGAGAAUUAAUUCUUCUCAUUCCUUUUUUAGUGUACAAGGAAUACAGUCUGUGAGAUCUCUUGGAAGUACUCUAGUCUGUGAAGAGAAUCUAACACUUAGGGCUUAGCUGUGUACACUUCUAAGUAUUUCCAAAUUGAGAGAUACAAAGCAUUGUUUUCUUUUGGAGAAUCAGCCCCCCGUUUGGAUUUAGGAAAGAAUGCUACACAGAGGUAAUCUCACUUUUCCCCGUCAUCAUCCUUUCAGUCGUCUUUGUUCCCUUCCUCCCCAGACACAAGGUGACACAUCCAAGUACUUGUCCUUCAACAGAUUCUUCAGCGAGCAACAGAGCAGAAAGCCCUAAUAUCUAUUCAUUUGUAAUCUGUCAUUCUUAAAGUAUUAAGGACAAUUGACUUCACAUGUCUUAGGUAAUUAGAAUAGUCAUCCUUUGCUCCCGAUUUUUAAAGUAAGUGUCUCGAACUCUUAAUCAGUACAUUUAUUGAUGUCUUUCAACAUAUCUGUUUCUUGUCAAGAGUGUGUUAGGUUUGGGGGAAAAAAAAAAUCCUUGCAUACUGAAUUUUGCAUAAGAAUUAUACUGAAAACGUUUUAAUAUUGCUUUUGUAAUCAAAUAAAAUAUAUUCGUG
rnacentral:lncRNA from 7 species